rnacentral:pre_miRNA from 1 species
UUUAAGUGUAAUUAUGAGAUUUUGUGUCUAACAUUAGACCGUCUGUCUUAUAUAAAAAAUAUGAUUUUUUUUAAAAAAAGUCACGCAUAAAGUAUGUUUUAUCUAUAAUAAAAAUAAAAGUAUUAAUCAUAAAAAAAUUAAAUAAGAUAGAUGGUUAAACUUCGUUGGACAAAGAAACACACUACUGUAUUUUUU